GCGAGUAUGGCCCUCACGGGUCUAAUCCACCAUAAAUACCUUUGUGAACCAGUCAGGGGGACUCGGCCGUGAAAGCCCAGGCGAUUAGCGGAAGGGCCCUCCUUUGCAAACCCGUUUAGAAGUCUUGAAAGUACUUUUGUAUAAUCUAGUA
rnacentral:misc_RNA from 1 species